GUGGAGAGAGCACGCGCACCUGUGUUGCAUUAACUAAUCGUGGGCCGAGACCGGGAGCAGCCACAGAGAGAGCGACUUUUUGAGUUUCGUUUAAUUUUGUUUGAUCUGUCCGAGCAGGACACAACAAGGAAGUACAUCGCCUCUGAAAAGCAGUGAACUGACAAGUUGCCGCUCAGUUUUGUUUCUUUUGUCUUUGUUAUUUUAGUUGUUGUUUUUGCCUGGAACCCGUGAGUGGAAGGGUGACGGUGUUUUUGUUUAUUUAAUUUCGUGUUGGUGAGGGUGCGCGCUCUCUCUCUCUCUCCAUGCAGCAACCAAACACGACGCACUCCUGGGACUGCCGCAUCUACUUUCCCAGGCUGUUAUUCGCCAUUCACCAGAUGGGGUAAUUGCCCACCUUCAGUUGGGUAAAUCCAGAGUGAGGGCGCCUCCAGUCCAGCUUUUUUUACGAUCGAUGAGCGGCUCCAGGACAAGAAAACGCGUGGAGAUCUGCGUGUGGAGUGAACGCUGCCCUUGGAAACUUUACAAAUCGAUGCAGCGGCCGGUGAUUGGUGGAGAAACAACGCGGAGAGGAUUUUGACGGCAUGAGUGAACGACACAGAGCUUGACAGAACUCACUCCUGGUGACCACGCCCUCCAGGCGGAUGACGUUGGGGUGGUCGAACUGCG